UACGAAGGGGGCUAGCGUUGCUCGGCAUCACUGGGCGUAAAGGGUGCGUAGGCGGGUCUUUAAGUCAGGGGUGAAAUCCUGGAGCUCAACUCCAGAACUGCCUUUGAUACUGAGGAUCUUGAGUUCGGGAGAGGUGAGUGGAACUGCGAGUGUAGAGGUGAAAUUCGUAGAUAUUCGCAAGAACACCAGUGGCGAAGGCGGCUCACUGGCCCGAUACUGACGCUGAGGCACGAAAGCGUGGGGAGCAAACAGG
rnacentral:rRNA from 1 species